rnacentral:rRNA from 1 species
AGGGUUUGAUCAUGGCUCAGAUUGAACGCUGGCGGUAUGCUUAACACAUGCAAGUCGAACGGAAACGAUACUAGCUUGCUAGUAGGCGUCGAGUGGCGGACGGGUGAGUAACGCGUAGGAAUCUGCCUGAUAGUGGGGGAUAGCCCGAAGAAAUUCGGAUUAAUACCGCAUAAUCUAUUCGUAGUAAAGUGGGGGACUUUCGAGCCUCACGCUAUCAGAUGAGCCUGCGUAAGAUUAGCUAGUUGGUAGGGUAAAAGCCUACCAAGGCUACGAUCUUUAGCUGGUCUGAGAGGAUGAUCAGCCACAUCGGGACUGAGACACGGCCCGAACUCCUACGGGAGGCAGCAGUGGGGAAUAUUGGACAAUGGGGGCAACCCUGAUCCAGCAAUACCGCGUGUGUGAAGAAGGCCUGAGGGUUGUAAAGCACUUUCAAUUGUGAAGAAAAGUUAACGGUUAAUAACCGUUAGCCUUGACGUUAACUUUAGAAGAAGCACCGGCUAACUCCGUGCCAGCAGCCGCGGUAAUACGGAGGGUGCAAGCGUUAAUCGGAAUUACUGGGCGUAAAGCGUGCGUAGGCGGUUUAUUAAGUCAGAUGUGAAAGCCCCGGGCUUAACCUGGGAACUGCAUUUGAAACUGGUCAACUAGAGUAUGGUAGAGGAAAGUGGAAUUUCUGGUGUAGCG